GAUGAACGCUGGCGGCGUGCCUAAUACAUGCAAGUCGAACGCAUAGCGAAAGGUGCUUGCACCUUUCAAGUGAGUGGCGAACGGGUGAGUAACACGUGGACAACCUGCCUCAAGGCUGGGGAUAACAUUUGGAAACAGAUGCUAAUACCGAAUAAAACUUAGUGUCGCAUGACACAAAGUUAAAAGGCGCCUCGGCGUCACCUAGAGAUGGAUCCGCGGUGCAUUAGUUAGUUGGUGGGGUAAAGGCCUACCAAGACAAUGAUGCAUAGCCGAGUUGAGAGACUGAUCGGCCACAUUGGGACUGAGACACGGCCCAAACUCCUACGGGAGGCUGCAGUAGGGAAUCUUCCACAAUGGGCGAAAGCCUGAUGGAGCAACGCCGCGUGUGUGAUGAAGGCGUUCGGGUCGUAAAGCACUGUUGUAUGGGAAGAACAGCUAGAAUAGGAAAUGAUUUUAGUUUGACGGUACCAUACCAGAAAGGGACGGCUAAAUACGUG
rnacentral:rRNA from 1 species